GACGAACGCUGGCGGCGUGCUUAACACAUGCAAGUCGAACGGAAAGGCCCUGCUUUUGUGGGGUGCUCGAGUGGCGAACGGGUGAGUAACACGUGAGUAACCUGCCCUUGACUUUGGGAUAACUUCAGGAAACUGGGGCUAAUACCGGAUAGGAGCUCCUGCUGCAUGGUGGGGGUUGGAAAGUUUCGGCGGUUGGGGAUGGACUCGCGGCUUAUCAGCUUGUUGGUGGGGUAGUGGCUUACCAAGGCUUUGACGGGUAGCCGGCCUGAGAGGGUGACCGGCCACAUUGGGACUGAGAUACGGCCCAGACUCCUACGGGAGGCAGCAGUGGGGAAUAUUGCAGAAUGGGCGGAAGCCUGAUGCAGCAACGCCGCGUGCGGGAUGACGGCCUUCGGGUUGUAAACCGCUUUCGACUGUGACGAAGCGUGAGUGACGGUAAUGGGUAAAGAAGCACCGGCUAACUACGUG
rnacentral:rRNA from 1 species